GCAGAUGAUGAGGGCCCCCUGAGAGUUGAUGGGGGCCCCCCAUCUGAGG
rnacentral:snoRNA from 1 species